UGUCUCAUGGCCAAGCGGUAAGGCAAUGGACUCUGGAUCCAUUAUCGUAGGUUCGAAUCCUACUGAGACAGCCA
rnacentral:tRNA from 1 species